ACGCUCGACACCUACGGGGGGCAGCAGUAGGGAAUUUUCGUCAAUGGGGGCAACCCUGAACGAGCAAUGCCGCGUGAGUGAAGAAGGUCUUCGGAUCGCAAAGCUCUGUUGUAAGAGAAAAACGGCCUUCAUAGGGAAUGAUGGAGGAGUGAUGGUAUCUUACCAGAAAGCCACGGCUAACUACGUGUCAGCAGCCGCGGUAAUCUGAGCGGGCUGGCAAGGC
rnacentral:rRNA from 1 species